ACUUGCCUGUGGAUACGC
rnacentral:piRNA from 1 species